UUUUUUAUUUACCAGUAUUUCUUUCAUUUCCACUUUCAUUCUGUUUUCUAUUUUGUUUUAUUACAAUGGGUACGCGAGUCUAAAGAUAAAUGAAAGUAAGAAGAAUAGGAACGAGAAUUA
rnacentral:ribozyme from 1 species